rnacentral:rRNA from 1 species
AUUGAACGCUGGCGGCAGGCCUAACACAUGCAAGUCGAACGGCAGCACAGAAGAGCUUGCUCUUUGGGUGGCGAGUGGCGGACGGGUGAGUAAUGUCUGGGAAACUGCCCGAUGGAGGGGGAUAACUACUGGAAACGGUAGCUAAUACCGCAUAACGUCGCAAGACCAAAGUGGGGGACCUUCGGGCCUAACACCAUCGGAUGUGCCCAGAUGGGAUUAGCUAGUAGGUGGGGUAAUGGCUCACCUAGGCGACGAUCCCUAGCUGGUCUGAGAGGAUGACGAGCCACACUGGAACUGAGACACGGGCAAGACUCCUGCGGUAGGCAGCAGUGGGGAAUAUUGCACAAUGGGCGCAAGCCGGAUGCAGCCAUGCCGCGGGUAUGAAUAAGGCCUUCGGGUUGUAAAGUACUUUCAGCGGGGAGGAAGGCGGUGGGGUUAAUAACCUUGCCGAUUGACGUUACCCGCAGAAGAAGCACCGGCUAACUCCGUGCCAGCAGCCGCCGUAAGAC